ACUAACGCUGGCGGCGUGCCUAACACAUGCAAGUCGAACGAAGCAGCAAUGCUUAGUGGCAGACGGGUGAGUAACGCGUAGAUAAUGUGCCCUCUUGCGGGGGAUACCGUUUCGAAAGGAACGUUAAUACCGCAUAAAGUCCUUGGGAGGCAUCUCCUAGGGACCAAACUUCCGGGGCGGGAGGAGCAAUCUGCGUACUAUCAGGUAGUUGGUGAGGUAACGGCUCACCAAGCCUACGACGGUUAACUGGUCUGAGAGGAUGAUCAGUCACACUGGAACUGAGACACGGUCCAGACUCCUACGGGAGGCAGCAGUGAGGAAUAUUGCGCAAUGGGCGAAAGCCUGACGCAGCGACGCCGCGUGGAGGAUGACGGUCUUCGGAUUGUAAACUCCUGUCAGUAGGGAAGAGAAUGGACGGUACCUACUGAGGAAGCUUCGGCUAACUACGU
rnacentral:rRNA from 1 species